UCUGCUUUCCCUGGCCUUGAAUACACUAAAAUGGAAUGAGGCAAAGAUUAGCAAUUCCCCUGCUUAAGGAUGACACACAGAUCCGUGAAAUGUUCCUAUUUAAA
ensembl:snRNA Gm56147 U6 spliceosomal RNA